GCCGUCCCCAUGAUAAAACAACUUAGAUCUCUGUUAUUGAAUUCUUACUGCACUGUAAGAACCGAUCUCGAAUACACCCACCACAAUAUGACUACCAGUGCCAAUUCUCGAAAUUACCCACAAUAUGACUAUCCGUGCCAAUUCUCUUCCAACAAUACUGACUACCAGUGUCAAUUCUCGAGAUCCCACAAUAUGGCUACCCGUGCCAAUUCUCUUCCCAC
rnacentral:lncRNA from 1 species